AGCAGGAUUAGAUACCCUGGUAGUCCACUCCGUAUAUGAUGUCAACUUGGAGGUUGUCCCGGAGAGGUGUGGCCUCUCGGAGAUAAUGCGUUAAGUCAGUCUCAGAGGGAGUUCGGCCGCAGGGUUAAAACUCAAAUGAUUUGACGGGGGCCCGCACAAGCGGUGGAGCAUGGCGCUUAAUUUGAUGCAACGCGAAGAACCUUACCUGGUCUUGACAUCCACGGAACUUUUCAGAGAUGGAAUUGUGCCUUCGGGAACUGUGAGACAGGUGCUGCAUGGCUGUCGUCAGUUCGUGUUGUGAAAUGUUGGGUUAAGUCCCGCAACCAGUGCUACCCCUAUCGUCAGGUGCGAGCGGUCCGGCCGGGCACUCAAAGGAAUUCCCCAGUGAUACCUCGGAGGAAGGUGGGGACGGCGUCAAGUCAUCAGGGCCCUUGGGACCAGGGCUACACACGUGCUACAAUGGCGCAUACAAAGAGAAGCGACCUCGCGAGAGCAAGCGGACCUCAUAAACAUCGUCGUAGUCCGGAUUGGAGUCUGCAACUUGACUCCAUGAAGUCGGAAUCGGUUGUAAUCGUGGAUCAGAAUUACACGGCGAAUUCGUUCCCGGGCCUUGUACACACCGCCUGUCCCACCAUGCGAGUGGGAGCAAAAGAAGUAGUUAGCUUAACCUUCGGGAGGGCUGCAUCGCAGUCGAUCCAAUACGU
rnacentral:rRNA from 1 species